GUCUCCGUGGCUUAAACCACUUAGUCGGGAAAACAUCCGACUAUGGUGUGGUAGAAUUUGGGUUCGAGCCCCGGUGGAGGCA